AUUGAACGCUGGCGGCAGGCCUAACACAUGCAAGUCGGGCGAACGGCGGACGGGUGAGUAAGUUAUGAGGAUCUGCCUGAUGGAUGGGGAUAACUACUGGAAACGGUAGCUAAUACCGCUAACAAUCCUAUGAACCCAUAUGGGAUUAGCUUUUCGGUGUGGUAACGGCUCACCUAGGGUACCAUCCCUAGCUGGCCUGAGAGGAUGAUCGGCCACACUGGGACUGAGACACGGCCCAGACUCCUACGGGAGGCAGCAGUGGGGAAUAUUGCACAAUGGGCGCAAGCCUGAUGCAGCCACGCCGCGUGUAUGAAGAAGGCCUUCGGGUUGUAAAGUACUGUCAGUCGGGAGGCGGUACCGACAGAAGAAGCACCGGCUAACUCCGUGCCAGCAGCCGCGGUAAUAC
rnacentral:rRNA from 1 species